rnacentral:rRNA from 1 species
UGGGGAAUAUUGCACAAUGGGCGGAAGCCUGAUGCAGCGACGCCGCGUGAGGGAUGACGGCCUUCGGGUUGUAAACCUCUUUCAGCACGGAAGAAGCGAAAGUGACGGUACGUGCAGAAGAAGCGCCGGCUAACUACGUGCCAGCAGCCGCGGUAAUACGUAGGGCGCAAGCGUUGUCCGGAAUUAUUGGGCGUAAAGAGCUCGUAGGCGGUUUGUCGCGUCUGCUGUGAAAGCCCGGGGCUUAACCCCGGGUGUGCAGUGGGUACGGGCAGACUUGAGUGCAGUAGGGGAGACUGGAAUUCCUGGUGUAGCGGUGAAAUGCGCAGAUAUCAGGAGGAACACCGAUGGCGAAGGCAGGUCUCUGGGCUGUUACUGACGCUGAGGAGCGAAAGCAUGGGGAGCGAACA